rnacentral:rRNA from 1 species
UGAUAGCGUGCCUUUUGUAGAAUGAACCGGCGAGUUACGAUUUGUUGCAAGGUUAAGCGGAAAAAGCGGAGCCGUAGCGAAAGCGAGUCUGAAUAGGGCGCAUAAGUAACAGGUCGUAGACCCGAAACCAGGUGAUCUACCCAUGUCCAGGAUGAAGGUAAGGUAAUACUUACUGGAGGUCCGAACCCACGCACGUUGAAAAGUGCGGGGAUGAGGUGUGGGUAGCGGAGAAAUUCCAAUCGAACUUGGAGAUAGCUGGUUCUCUCCGAAAUAGCUUUAGGGCUAGCCUCGAGGUAAAGAGUCAUGGAGGUAGAGCACUGUUUGGACUAGGGGCCCUUCUCGGGUUACCGAAUUCAGAUAAACUCCGAAUGCCAUGUACUUAUACUCGGGAGUCAGACUGCGAGUGAUAAGAUCCGUAGUCGAAAGGGAAACAGCCCAGACCACCAGUUAAGGUCCCCAAAUAUAUGUUAAGUGGAAAAGGAUGUGGGGUUGCUUAGACAACCAGGAUGUUGGCUUAGAAGCAGCCACCAUUGAAAGAGUGCGUAAUAGCUCACUGGUCGAGUGACCCCGCGCCGAAAAUGUACCGGGGCUAAACAUAUUACCGAAACUGUGGAUGAACCUCUUUAGAGGUUCGUGGUAGGAGAGCGUUCUAAGGGCGGUGAAGUCAGACCGGAAGGACUGGUGGAGCGCUUAGAAGUGAGAAUGCCGGUAUGAGUAGCGAAAGAAGGGUGAGAAUCCCUUCCACCGAAUAUCUAAGGUUUCCUGAGGAAGGCUCGUCCGCUCAGGGUUAGUCGGGACCUAAGCCGAGGCCGAUAGGCGUAGGCGAUGGACAACAGGUAGAGAUUCCUGUACCAGUGCUAAUUGUUUAACCGAUGGGGUGACACAGAAGGAUAGGGAAUCGCACGAAUGGAAAUGUGCGUCCAAGCAGUGAGUGUGAGAAGUAGGCAAAUCCGCUUCUCGCGAAGCAUGAGCUGUGAUGGGGAAGGAAAUUAAGUACGGAAGUUCCUGAUUUCACGCUGUCAAGAAAAGCCUCUAGGAAGAGUAGUACUGCCCGUACCGCAAACCGACACAGGUAGAUGAGGAGAGAAUCCUAAGGUGAGCGAGAGAACUCUCGUUAAGGAACUCGGCAAAAUGACCCCGUAACUUCGGGAGAAGGGGUGCUCUAUUAGGGUGCAAGCCCGAGAGAGCCGCAGUGAAUAGGCCCAGGCGACUGUUUAGCAAAAACACAGGUCUCUGCAAAACCGUAAGGUGACGUAUAGGGGCUGACGCCUGCCCGGUGCUGGAAGGUUAAGAGGAGUGCUUAGCUUCGGCGAAGGUACGAAUUGAAGCCCCAGUAAACGGCGGCCGUAACUAUAACGGUCCUAAGGUAGCGAAAUUCCUUGUCGGGUAAGUUCCGACCCGCACGAAAGGCGCAACGAUCUGGGCACUGUCUCAACGAGAGACUCGGUGAAAUUAUAGUACCUGUGAAGAUGCAGGUUACCCGCGACAGGACGGAAAGACCCCGUGGAGCUUUACUGCAACCUGAUAUGGAAUGUUUGUACCGCUUGUACAGGAUAGGUAGGAGCCGAAGAGACGUGUGCGCUAGCAUACGAGGAGGCAAUGGUGGGAUACUACCCUGGCUGUAUGACCAUUCUAACCCGCCACGCUUAGCGCGUGGGGAGACAGUGUCAGGUGGGCAGUUUGACUGGGGCGGUCGCCUCCUAAAGAGUAACGGAGGCGCCCAAAGGUUCCCUCAGAAUGGAUGGAAAUCAUUCGCAGAGUGUAAAGGCACAAGGGAGCUUGACUGCGAGACUGACAAGUCGAGCAGGGACGAAAGUCGGGCUUAGUGAUCCGGUGGUUCCGCAUGGAAGGGCCAUCGCUCAACGGAUAAAAGCUACCCCGGGGAUAACAGGCUUAUCUCCCCCAAGAGUCCACAUCGACGGGGAGGUUUGGCACCUCGAUGUCGGCUCGUCGCAUCCUGGGGCUGUAGUCGGUCCCAAGGGUUGGGCUGUUCGCCCAUUAAAGCGGCACGCGAGCUGGGUUCAGAACGUCGUGAGACAGUUCGGUCCCUAUCCGUCGCGGGCGCAGGAAAUUUGAGAGGAGCUGUCCUUAGUACGAGAGGACCGGGAUGGACACACCGCUGGUGUACCAGUUGUUCCGCCAGGAGCAUCGCUGGGUAGCUAUGUGUGGCAGGGAUAAACGCUGAAAGCAUCUAAGCGUGAAGCCCCCCUCAAGAUGAGAUUUCCCAUUUCUUCGGAAAGUAAGAUCCCUGAAAGAUGAUCAGGUAGAUAGGUUUGGAGUGGAAGUGUAGCGAUACAUGGAGCGGACAAAUACUAAUCGAUCGAGGACUUAACCAAAA